UACAGAGGGUGCAAGCGUUAAUCGGAAUUACUGGGCGUAAAGGGUGUGUAGGUGGCAAAGUAAGUUAGGUGUGAAAUCCUCGGGCUUAACCUGAGAAUUGCGCUUAAUACUGCCGUGCUAGAGUACUGUAGAGGGUAGUGGAAUUUCCAGUGUAGCGGUGAAAUGCGUAGAUAUUGGAAGGAACACCAGUGGCGAAGGCGACUACCUGGAUAGAUACUGACACUGAGACACGAAAGCGUGGGUAGCAAACAGGAUUAGAUACCCUGGUAGUCCACGCUGUAAACGAUGAGAACUUGCUGUUGGGUGCAUGAAAGCACUUAGUAGCGGAGCUAACGCGUUAAGUUCUCCGCCUGGGGAGUACGGCCGCAAGGUUAAA
rnacentral:rRNA from 1 species